GCACUUCUCUACUUUAACCAUCCAGCUUUAAUCUUAUGACUAACAUCAUUCCAAAAUCAUACCAAAGAAAAAAAUAGUGAUGAUCCAUAAUCAACUUCACGAGCAUACAAUUAAAUAAACACAUACUUUCCUAAUAAUUUCCUAUAAUCUCAAACCAUGAGGAAGCUUGCUAAGAUUAGUACCACCUAUAAGAUAGAAGCUAUAAACUUCCAUAAGGAAAAAAUGCCUAUUGUUAUAAUAUUAUCUGAAUAUGAAACAAAUUCAGAGAGCAAAAAGGUUGUAAACAUUUUAUUAAUCAAAGUUCAAAAAGUUAAAUUAGAGAGCUGAGGAAAUGACUGCAUAAAUUACAAAGAAAAAAGAAAAAG
rnacentral:misc_RNA from 1 species